rnacentral:rRNA from 1 species
AACUCUGAGCAGUGAAUCACUCGGCUCACAAUCGAUGAAGAACGCAGACAGCUACGAGACUUGGUUAAGUUGCAGGAAACAUUGAGCAUUGAUUUUUCGAACGCGCAUUGCUGUCUCGAAUGAUACCCGGGAACUCGCCUGUCUGAGAGUCG